AGUGUCUGAAAAAAGCAGUACUACUCGUCGGCCAGUAAAUCCUAACACAUCUGAUGAUGAUGACGCUGCGGAAGCAGGUCCAUCAAAAGAAGUAUGGAGCAGCAGAAGUGGCUCUUCUGUUAGACAUCACCACAAGAAACCUGUGGCCGAAAAGAAAGCAAGGUCGUCUGUCCCGCCACAAACACAGCAGGCUACCCCGCCACGAAGAUUAUCGUCCGUAUGUUCUGUCCCCCCACUCCAAAUUUUGGACACACCUCCAAGACGUCAUCCACACUCCCCUCAUCUUGAUUCUUCGAGUCCUGGGAACAGCAUCCCUCCGCAACAACACCAACACAGUGACAUGGAGGAGAC